rnacentral:rRNA from 1 species
UCAAGUGACUAAGUGCAUGUGGUGGAUGCCUUGGCGAUUACAGGCGACGAAAGACGUGAUAGCCUGCGAAAAGCUCUGGGGAGGUGGCAAAUAACCUUUGAUCCAGAGAUAUCUGAAUGGGGAAACCCAACCCUUAGGGGUUACUGCUGACUGAAUACAUAGGUCAGUGGAGCGAACGCGGAGAACUGAAACAUCUAAGUACCCGUAGGAAAAGAAAUCAACCGAGAUUCCCAAAGUAGCGGCGAGCGAAAUGGGACCAGCCGUGAUGUGAUAUAGGAUCAGUUAGUAGAAUGGAAUGGAAAGUCCAGCUAUAGAGGGUGAUAGCCCCGUAUACGAAAACUCAACCUAGGUACUAAGCAUCAGACAAGUAGGGCGGGACACGAGAAAUCCUGUCUGAAUAUGGGGGGACCAUCCUCCAAGGCUAAAUACUCGUAAUCGACCGAUAGUGAACCAGUACCGUGAGGGAAAGGCGAAAAGAACCCCGGGAGGGGAGUGAAAUAGAUCCUGAAACCGCAUGCAUACAAACAGUAGGAGCGGACUUGUUCCGUGACUGCGUACCUUUUGUAUAAUGGGUCAGCGACUUACGUUGUGUUGCAAGCUUAACCGAAUAGGGGAGGCGUAGCGAAAGCGAGUCUGAUAAGGGCGACAGUAGCACGGCGUAGACCCGAAACCAAGUGAUCUAUCCAUGGCCAGGAUGAAGGUUGGGUAACACCAACUGGAGGUCCGAACCCACUAAUGUUGAAAAAUUAGGGGAUGAGCUGUGGAUAGGGGUGAAAGGCUAAACAAACUUGGAGAUAGCUGGUUCUCUCCGAAAACUAUUUAGGUAGUGCCUCAAGUAUUGCUUACGGGGGUAGAGCACUGUUAUGGCUAGGGGGUCAUUGCGACUUACCAAACCAUGGCAAACUCCGAAUACCGUAAAGUAUGAGCUUGGGAGACAGACAUCGGGUGCUAACGUCCGGUGUCAAGAGGGAAACAACCCAGACCGCCAGCUAAGGUCCCCAAUAUAAGCUAAGUGGGAAACGAAGUGGGAAGGCUAAGACAGUCAGGAGGUUGGCUUAGAAGCAGCCACCCUUUAAAGAAAGCGUAAUAGCUCACUGAUCGAGUCGUCCUGCGCGGAAGAUGUAACGGGGCUAAGCUUAUAACCGAAGCUGCGGAUACGUGCUUGCACGUAUGGUAGGAGAGCGUUCUGUAAGCCUGUGAAGGUGCGUUGAAAAGCGUGCUGGAGGUAUCAGAAGUGCGAAUGCUGACAUGAGUAGCGAUAAAGGGGGUGAAAGGCCCCCUCGCCGUAAGCCCAAGGAUUCCUACGCAACGUUCAUCGGCGUAGGGUUAGUCGGCCCCUAAGGCGAGGCAGAAAUGCGUAGCUGAUGGGAAACAGGUUAAUAUUCCUGUACCAUUGUAUGAUGCGAUGGGGGGACGGAUCGUAAAAGGUUAUCCAACGGUUGGAAGAGUUGGUUUAGGUGAUGUAGGCGAGCGUUAGGCAAAUCCGGCGCUCAUUAGCCAAGGUCAUCGAUCGAGUGAUUUAGGUCACGAAGUAACUGGAAGUGAUUCCAAGAAAAGCCUCUAAGCUUCAGUCAUACAAGACCGUACCGCAAACCGACACAGGUGGGCGAGAUGAGUAUUCUAAGGCGCUUGAGAGAACUGCGGAGAAGGAACUCGGCAAAUUAAUACCGUAACUUCGGGAGAAGGUAUGCCCCAGUAGCGUGACUUGAACAAAGAAGCGUGAAAGGGUCUCAGAGAAAUGGUGGCUGCGACUGUUUAAUAAAAACACAGCACUCUGCAAACACGAAAGUGGACGUAUAGGGUGUGACGCCUGCCCGGUGCUGGAAGAUUAAAUGAUGGGGUGCAAGCUCUUGAUUGAAGUCCCAGUAAACGGCGGCCGUAACUAUAACGGUCCUAAGGUAGCGAAAUUCCUUGUCGGGUAAGUUCCGACCUGCACGAAUGGCGUAACGAUGGCCACACUGUCUCCUCCGCAGACUCAGCGAAGUUGAAAUGUUUGUGAUGAUGCAAUCUCCCCGCGGCUAGACGGAAAGACCCCAUGAACCUUUACUGUAGCUUUGCAUUGUAUGUUGAAUCGUUUUGUGUAGGAUAGGUGGGAGACUAUGAAGCUUUGGCGCCAGCCAGAGUGGAGUCAACCUUGAAAUACCACCCUGAAUUAUUUGACGUUCUAACCUAGGCCGCUGAAUCGCGGUUGGGGACAGUGCAUGGUAGGCAGUUUGACUGGGGCGGUCUCCUCCCAAAUUGUAACGGAGGAGUUCGAAGGUACGCUUAACACGGUCGGACAUCGUGUGUAAAGUGCAAUGGCAAAAGCGUGCUUAACUGCGAGACUGACAAGUCGAGCAGGUGCGAAAGCAGGACAUAGUGAUCCGGUGGUUCUGAAUGGAAGGGCCAUCGCUCAACGGAUAAAAGGUACUCUGGGGAUAACAGGCUGAUACCGCCCAAGAGUUCAUAUCGACGGCGGUGUUUGGCACCUCGAUGUCGGCUCAUCUCAUCCUGGGGCUGUAGUCGGUCCCAAGGGUAUGGCUGUUCGCCAUUUAAAGAGGUACGUGAGCUGGGUUUAAAACGUCGUGAGACAGUUUGGUCCCUAUCUGCCGUGGGCGCUGGAAAUUUGACGGGGGCUGUUCCUAGUACGAGAGGACCGGAAUGGACGUACCGCUGGUGUACCUGUUGUUUCGCCAGAAGCAUCGCAGGGUAGCUAAGUACGGAAGAGAUAACCGCUGAAAGCAUCUAAGCGGGAAACUUGCCUGAAGAUAAGAUUUCCCAGGAGCUUGACUCCUUUGAAGGGUCGUUCGAGACCAGGACGUUGAUAGGUUGGGUGUGGAAGUGCAGUAAUGCAUUAAGCUAACCAAUACUAAUUGCCCGUAAGGCUUGACCUU